rfam:Hordeum vulgare subsp. vulgare, WGS project CAJW01000000 data, contig: morex_contig_1561805
AUUAUACUCCCUUCAUCCUGAAUUAUUUGUCGCAGAAAUGGAUAAAAAUAGAUGUAUUUAGAACUAAUUAAAAAUACUUUUGAAUACAUCCAUUUAAGCGACAAGUAAUUCGGGAAGGAGGGAGUUCUAU